GUGGCAUAAUGAGGAUUGAUUUGUUCUGAAUCUGUGUUGACAAAAAACCUCCUACUCAUUCUGA
rnacentral:snoRNA from 1 species